UAAUCUAUCUGAGAUAAAUAUUCGUCUAGUUAUUACAGAUCCAUACUUGACUGUACAGAAUCAUCCGUGAAAACUACUGUGUAAAUAAUAGCUUUUUACAAU
rfam:Populus trichocarpa isolate Nisqually-1 chromosome 1, whole genome shotgun sequence.